GGUUAAGCGACUAAGCGUACACGGUGGAUGCCCUGGCAGUCAGAGGCGAUGAAGGACGUGCUAAUCUGCGAUAAGCGUCGGUGAGGUGAUAUGAACCGUUAUAACCGGCGAUUUCCGAAUGGGGAAACCCAGUGUGUUUCGACACACUAUCAUUAACUGAAUCCAUAGGUUAAUGAGGCGAACCGGGGGAACUGAAACAUCUAAGUACCCCGAGGAAAAGAAAUCAACCGAGAUUCCCCCAGUAGCGGCGAGCGAACGGGGAGGAGCCCAGAGCCUGAAUCAGUGUGUGUGUUAGUGGAAGCGUCUGGAAAGGCGCGCGAUACAGGGUGACAGCCCCGUACACAAAAAUGCACAUGCUGUGAGCUCGAUGAGUAGGGCGGGACACGUGGUAUCCUGUCUGAAUAUGGGGGGACCAUCCUCCAAGGCUAAAUACUCCUGACUGACCGAUAGUGAACCAGUACCGUGAGGGAAAGGCGAAAAGAACCCCGGCGAGGGGAGUGAAAAAGAACCUGAAACCGUGUACGUACAAGCAGUGGGAGCCUCUUAAUGGGGUGACUGCGUACCUUUUGUAUAAUGGGUCAGCGACUUAUAUUCUGUAGCAAGGUUAACCGAAUAGGGGAGCCGAAGGGAAACCGAGUCUUAACUGGGCGUUAAGUUGCAGGGUAUAGACCCGAAACCCGGUGAUCUAGCCAUGGGCAGGUUGAAGGUUGGGUAACACUAACUGGAGGACCGAACCGACUAAUGUUGAAAAAUUAGCGGAUGACUUGUGGCUGGGGGUGAAAGGCCAAUCAAACCGGGAGAUAGCUGGUUCUCCCCGAAAGCUAUUUAGGUAGCGCCUCGUGAAUUCAUCUCCGGGGGUAGAGCACUGUUUCGGCAAGGGGGUCAUCCCGACUUACCAACCCGAUGCAAACUGCGAAUACCGGAGAAUGUUAUCACGGGAGACACACGGCGGGUGCUAACGUCCGUCGUGAAGAGGGAAACAACCCAGACCGCCAGCUAAGGUCCCAAAGUCAUGGUUAAGUGGGAAACGAUGUGGGAAGGCCCAGACAGCCAGGAUGUUGGCUUAGAAGCAGCCAUCAUUUAAAGAAAGCGUAAUAGCUCACUGGUCGAGUCGGCCUGCGCGGAAGAUGUAACGGGGCUAAACCAUGCACCGAAGCUGCGGCAGCGACACUAUGUGUUGUUGGGUAGGGGAGCGUUCUGUAAGCCUGUGAAGGUGUGCUGUGAGGCAUGCUGGAGGUAUCAGAAGUGCGAAUGCUGACAUAAGUAACGAUAAAGCGGGUGAAAAGCCCGCUCGCCGGAAGACCAAGGGUUCCUGUCCAACGUUAAUCGGGGCAGGGUGAGUCGACCCCUAAGGCGAGGCCGAAAGGCGUAGUCGAUGGGAAACAGGUUAAUAUUCCUGUACUUGGUGUUACUGCGAAGGGGGGACGGAGAAGGCUAUGUUGGCCGGGCGACGGUUGUCCCGGUUUAAGCGUGUAGGCUGGUUUUCCAGGCAAAUCCGGAAAACCAAGGCUGAGGCGUGAUGACGAGGCACUACGGUGCUGAAGCGACAAAUGCCCUGCUUCCAGGAAAAGCCUCUAAGCAUCAGGUAACAUCAAAUCGUACCCCAAACCGACACAGGUGGUCAGGUAGAGAAUACCAAGGCGCUUGAGAGAACUCGGGUGAAGGAACUAGGCAAAAUGGUGCCGUAACUUCGGGAGAAGGCACGCUGAUAUGUAGGUGAAGCGACUUGCUCGUGGAGCUGAAAUCAGUCGAAGAUACCAGCUGGCUGCAACUGUUUAUUAAAAACACAGCACUGUGCAAACACGAAAGUGGACGUAUACGGUGUGACGCCUGCCCGGUGCCGGAAGGUUAAUUGAUGGGGUUAGCGGUAACGCGAAGCUCUUGAUCGAAGCCCCGGUAAACGGCGGCCGUAACUAUAACGGUCCUAAGGUAGCGAAAUUCCUUGUCGGGUAAGUUCCGACCUGCACGAAUGGCGUAAUGAUGGCCAGGCUGUCUCCACCCGAGACUCAGUGAAAUUGAACUCGCUGUGAAGAUGCAGUGUACCCGCGGCAAGACGGAAAGACCCCGUGAACCUUUACUAUAGCUUGACACUGAACAUUGAGCCUUGAUGUGUAGGAUAGGUGGGAGGCUUUGAAGUGUGGACGCCAGUCUGCAUGGAGCCGACCUUGAAAUACCACCCUUUAAUGUUUGAUGUUCUAACGUUGGCCCGUAAUCCGGGUUGCGGACAGUGUCUGGUGGGUAGUUUGACUGGGGCGGUCUCCUCCUAAAGAGUAACGGAGGAGCACGAAGGUUGGCUAAUCCUGGUCGGACAUCAGGAGGUUAGUGCAAUGGCAUAAGCCAGCUUGACUGCGAGCGUGACGGCGCGAGCAGGUGCGAAAGCAGGUCAUAGUGAUCCGGUGGUUCUGAAUGGAAGGGCCAUCGCUCAACGGAUAAAAGGUACUCCGGGGAUAACAGGCUGAUACCGCCCAAGAGUUCAUAUCGACGGCGGUGUUUGGCACCUCGAUGUCGGCUCAUCACAUCCUGGGGCUGAAGUAGGUCCCAAGGGUAUGGCUGUUCGCCAUUUAAAGUGGUACGCGAGCUGGGUUUAGAACGUCGUGAGACAGUUCGGUCCCUAUCUGCCGUGGGCGCUGGAGAACUGAGGGGGGCUGCUCCUAGUACGAGAGGACCGGAGUGGACGCAUCACUGGUGUUCGGGUUGUCAUGCCAAUGGCACUGCCCGGUAGCUAAAUGCGGAAGAGAUAAGUGCUGAAAGCAUCUAAGCACGAAACUUGCCCCGAGAUGAGUUCUCCCUGAGACUUAGAGUCUCCUGAAGGAACGUUGAAGACGACGACGUUGAUAGGCCGGGUGUGUAAGCGCAGCGAUGCGUUGAGCUAACCGGUACUAAUGAACCGUGAGGCUUAACCUU
rnacentral:rRNA from 1 species